rnacentral:RNase_P_RNA from 1 species
UCAGGCGGCCGGGCAGCCGCGUCAGGGCUCAUUCAUGGGUGCCUGCCGAGGAAAGUCCGGGCUCCACGAAACAGGGUGGCGGGUAACGCCCGCCCGGCGAGGGCUUCGGCUCGAAGUCGAGGGACAGUGCCACAGAGAAGAGACCGCCUUGCCCUUCGGGGCAGGUAAGGGUGAAACGGCGGGGUAAGAGCCCACCGCGCGACUGGUAACAGAAGCGGCACGGCAAACCCCACCCGGAGCAAGACCGAAUAGGGACGGCGCGUUUCGCAAGAAACAGGCGUGUUUCGCGCCAGUCGUCCGGGUUGGUUGCUGGAGCGGCAUGGCAACAUGUCGCCAAGAGGAAUGGCUGCCGCUGGCCCCCGCGUCCGCAAGGAUACGAGAGGCCUUCACAGAACCCGGCUUACAGGCCGCCUGACACU